UACGUAGGGGGCAAGCGUUGUCCGGAUUUAUUGGGCGUAAAGCGCGUGUAGGCGGCCAGGUAGGUCCGCUGUGAAAACUCGAGGCUCAACCUCGAGAUGUCGGCGGAAACCAUCUGGCUAGAGUCCGGAAGAGGAGAGUGGAAUUCCCGGUGUAGCGGUGAAAUGCGCAGAUAUCGGGAAGAACACCCGUGGCGAAGGCGGCUCUCUGGGACGGGACUGACGCUGAGACGCGAAAGCGUGGGGAGCGAACAGG
rnacentral:rRNA from 1 species